ACGAACACUGGCGGCGUGCUUCACACAUGCCAGUCGAACGGAAAGGCCCUGCUUUUGUGGGGUGCUCGAGUGGCGAACGGGUGAGUAACACGUGAGUAACCUGCCCUUGACUUUGGGAUAACUUCAGGAAACUGGGGCUAAUACCGGAUAGGAGCUCCUGCUGCAUGGUGGGGGUUGGAAAGUUUCGGCGGUUGGGGAUGGACUCGCGGCUUAUCAGCUUGUUGGUGGGGUAGUGGCUUACCAAGGCUUUGACGGGUAGCCGGCCUGAGAGGGUGACCGGCCACAUUGGGACUGAGAUACGGCCCAGACUCCUACGGGAGGCAGCAGUGGGGAAUAUUGCACAAUGGGCGGAAGCCUGAUGCAGCAACGCCGCGUGCGGGAUGACGGCCUUCGGGUUGUAAACCGCUUUCGCCUGUGACGAAGCGUGAGUGACGGUAAUGGGUAAAGAAGCACCGGCUAACUACGUG
rnacentral:rRNA from 1 species